CCUGAAGUCACUUAAUUUUGAUUAAGAGGAAGGAAUAUAUAUUGUUUCUGGCAGUAUAUGACAGCUGAUGGGACAUAAUAGGAACUCACUUUGCUUUUUUCCUCUUAGCUGAAAGGCUUCUAGCUAUUAUGUUUGAAGGUCCUUGGGGAGAGGCUGUUGAGAGCACUAAAGAGAGAAGUGCUUAGACUCUUCAGCAUCUCAUGAUCCCCAGCUUCCUCGCUGGCAGGGCAUGCACAAAAGGAGCUAGGAGGGGAAAGAACCAGGACCGCUGACCCAGACCGUCCAAAGGGAUAUUCCAUACCAUAUGACAUCAUGCUUAUAUGGGGUGUCUGGGCCGGGUAGAGGGAUGCUUGGGGAUAGCCUGAGCAUCAGG